rnacentral:lncRNA from 1 species
GAGUAAGGUAAUUGAGAGAGUUGCUAGCAUGUUAGGAAGGAUAUUAAUAAACAAUAUAUCCUCUCCUGCCACCCUGAACAUUCCCACACGAAGGUGGGGAAAACCUCAGGCUCCAAUGUGGCCCUCCAGGACUUUCCAUUCAGCUCUUGGGACUCUUUCCCAGGCCACACCCCUCACUGGUCCUUCUCCAUGUCCUCCUUGAAUGCUAUUACCUAGCUGGUAUGUGUCCUUACAUGUUUGGAUGGAGAGGGCCUUAUGUGUUUACAGAAGACUGAAAUAUAUCCUGCUGUAGAAGGGUAAGAGUCACAUUCAUUGCCUGCUCCAUCCACUUUUGCCUCUGGUCCCACACACCCCUAGCAUGCAGACCCUCACACCCCAAGUUCCCCCACAAGGGACUGCAUCCUUUGGGCUGGAAAACAUUCCCCAUCCCUGCCACAGAUGUACCCUUUAGAAACUAAAUAUCUUUGUCAUCAUGACUAUUUGAAGAAGACAGUGUCGCAGUUUCACUUUACAGUGGUACCUCAGGUUACAUACGCUUCAGGUUACAGACUCUGCUAACCCAGAAAUAGUGCUUCAGGUUAAGAACUUUGCUUCAGGAUGAGAACAGAAAUCAGCAGGUUUAAGAGAUGCAGCAGCGGGAGGCCCCAUUAGCUAAAGUGGUGCUUCAGGUUAAGAACAGUUUCAGGUUAAGUACGGACCUCCGGAACAAAUUAAGUACUUAACCUGAGAUACCACUGUAUUUAAUAAUUAAAGAUAUUCUGAUCUCCAGCCUCAGUUUAAUAACAGAUCGUUUAUAUCUCUUGGCUACAUUCACUUUCUUCCUAGGUGAACUCCUAACGAUGCAUGUACAAGAGUCUUCACAUUUCUGUGUCAUACCAGUUGGUAUCCUAUCCUCAAGUAAUUUCAAAGCCUUUUACCAGAUGUCAGAUUUCCUUUCCAAAACCAAAUAUUACUAACGUGGCUGGAAUUUACACGGUCACAAUGAUCAUCAUGAUCAAGAUACAUUAUAGUCUCUCAUUACCUUGUAAUAAGAGUGGCCAGGCAUAGCCAUAAAGUUUCAUGAAGUUCUGAAGGUUCUGAAGACUUUGGAUGUUUUAUUAGGUGAAAUGGUUAUUCUCCAUUAAAAAUAGCAUCGAGUUUCAUUAGUAAGUCUAAUUUUUCCACUGUUAAAAAUGUUCCGUCUCAUCAGGGAGUGGCAGAUAAAGUCUGCAAAGUUUUAUGGCCUACUUGUCCCAAAAAAAGAAGCCACCUCAGCCGGCUGAGGCUGCAGCUCUGACCAUUCUUUCUUGGGAGCAAGUGCCAUUGAAGUCGUGACACCUCGGAAUAAACAUGCUGAGGAUUUGGCUGCAAAUAACUUUACUCUGUGACAUCGAAUAUGACUAUGCAGUAAAACCCGCAGGUUGGUGGGAUAUUGAACCAUGGUGAUGUUAUAGCACUUAGCACUUCUGGACUUCCACAGAUGUCGGAGGGAAAGCUAUUUUUAUUUUUUAAAUGCUGGAAAUUGAGUUUGCCACAAAGAACAAUUUAACACGAUUCCCAAACUUUGGAAACAGAAUGUGGUCUUGGAACUGAUUGGGAGGUGGGAAUUGUUUUUCUGGGUGGAGGGACUGGCAAUUUUACAUUCUUGGUGCAGGAUCAAUCCUUUGUAGUAGGAUCGUUUCUGUCUGAAAUACAGGAAUAUGCUUUUUUCCUACCCAGAUAUAGCCAUUUAAUAGGCUUUAAUUCCAGGAUUUGACGGUGGAAAGGUAAAUGUUCUUUUCUUUCCUAUUUUUCAGGCCUUGCCCAUCUGAAGCAUUUUACUGCUAUCAGUGGAGUGGAUAAAAGGAGAGGUAUAGAGUAUUAGAAAAACCUUUCUUCUGUUUUAAUAACCAAGCACAGAGCUAGUAUAAAAUUAUGGGAGAGUCAGGAAAAUACAGGAUCCACUUAAUUCCAGGGUGCCCAUGUAAAAUUAUUAGCUCUAUAAGAACUGAAUACAGAAAUCAAUUCCGUACUCUGGAUUCUGUUAGAUCUUGAAUUCAGUUUUGUUAGCUACAUUCUCUUCUACUUUUACCCCUAAGGUCCAGUCACUUCUACAAUUACUCAGGCAUGUACCCAGAGGAGUUCAGCAAGAUCUGGUUUUUGCUACUAAAAGCUCAACAUUUCAAAAACCUGAGAUGCUCUGGAACUGUUGAUAUAGGUGAAAUCCAAUGCAGUGCAAGCAGACAUAGGCUUGUGCAGCGGUCCUUUCCCUUCCUCUCCGCCCACUUCCUGCAGCUCCCAAAUCUUCUCCAGAGGAUUGGGGGACACUUGGUAGCAGAUUUUGGGGAGGAAGAGUACAAGGGCUACAGAGGAAGAAGAGAAGCUGGAGGUCCUGUUGCACAAGUGGAUUUCCAUUGUGGAAGGAGGUGAACAGCACUGGAUGUUGCCACUUUAGGACAACUGCACAGAAAUUAUGAUAGACUUUACCAGCAUUGCCCAUCCAAAGUUAAGCACUUGUGGCCUUGUUGAUUUCUAUGGGGGAGAGUUAAGUGGGAGUUUUAAAAUGAUUAACUCUGUCUGAAUUGUGCCCUGUGUGCUUGAUUAAAUGCAGUUUUGACAGACAUGUUUAAAACAUUUUUGGCACAAUCUUUGGCCACACACAUGCACUACAGCAUGUCUGCCAUUACCAGCAAACAGGAAAUCAGUAUUGUUCUUACUUAUGUAUCCGUCUCCCCAAGGCGCCAGUUCUUGAUAUUCCUUCUCCAUUUGGGGAAUUUUGGCUGAGAAGCAGAAUAAAAAUCCAGUAAACAAAUAAAUCAAAUAUAACAAAAUAUCAAACUUCCCAAUUCAGAUGAAAAUUGAAGGGGAAUUACAAGAAAAUAUUUCUCCAAGGGACAAGUGGGAGAAAUAAUUUACCAGCUCUUCCCUACCCACCCUCCUCAAAUAUUGUCUGAAAAAAAGGAACAUCUCUUCUGAUUUACCUAAUGUGAUAUAGCUGAAAUCCUGAGGUAUUAAUUAGAGUUUAAAGAAUCUUCCCCCACCCAUAUGCUACAAUUGCUUGGUCCAAAGUGAUCCAUAGAGUUCCAGUGGUAAUUAUUAUAUUGUUCUGAAUGCUGACCAGCCAGGCUGGUGACAUCUUUUGCUAGGAAAAUUGCAGGUUACUCCCUCAGGGUGGUUGUUAGAUAUUUGUCUUCCGCAGGGAUGGGGAACCAGUGUCACUCCUGAAGUUCGUGGAUUCCAGCUCCCAUCAGGCUCAGUCAGCAUGGCCGAUUGCCAGGGAUAAUGAGAGUUGUAGUCCAACAACAUCUGGAGGGCCAGAGAAUCCCCAUACCUGGUUUAGGGAACUAAUUGGUAGAGGAUAGUUUCUUGAUCAUCUCUGAAAAGUAAGGGCCAUUUUAGGGAAGGAAAUUCACCACCCCCACCCCCCACCCCCAGUUAGGGUGCUCUUAGCAUUUGGUGUGGGGAGGGCUGCCAUUUUGGAGAACAGAGUCAUUCUGUUUGGAGAACAGCGAAAGAAGUGGCGCAAGAGAGAUAAGUUGUGAGCUGAAGGCACCUCGGGGUGUAGGUAUUGCUUUCUGGGGGGUCUCAUGUGGAUCUUGUAACUGGUAGGAGUACUUGUGCUGUUUGCUUCCACCUAUGCUCCUAUUUUUGC